AGUGGUUCUCUUGGGGCUCAAG
rnacentral:miRNA from 8 species